rnacentral:lncRNA from 1 species
GAGUCCUUUGAACUGUCCAAUUUCUUGAGGUCUAAGCAUGUUUCUCUUUUUGUUCUUUUGUCCAGACUUUGCAAUCAUUUACCCAUUCCCUGUUUCAUCAGUGACAAGCUCCUUCAGUUUGGGUGAAACGUGCCCGCUGCUGCUUCUUAAUGUCAUCCUUCGCUAUUUCUCUCUGGAUUUUGAGAUCGUAGGAAAGCUGCGUAUAUAACACAAACCAGCCUCAGCAAAUAUUUUUCUUCAAAAGAAACCUCUUGAAGGUCCUAAACCUGUGGUUUUGAGAAGCCUGAUUGGCGAAGGAAGGUGAAUUCUCCUGUUGUUGAGGAUGCCAUAGAUCAUUUCCUAGACAUAUAGUUUCUGAGUGGGUGACAGAUCUGUGGUACUCUCGCAUAACCCCUGAUAGACAAGGUCCGAGGAGUUGGUGCAUAUCAUAAAUGGUGUUCUGCAGAAAUUUCUCGCGUAUGAGGAAUUGUAAUCCUUAUAGAUCUGCUCACAAGUCUAAUUUGAGAGUUUUCCUCAUGCCACAUUUUUUCCAACUUUGGGUAAAGAUUUUUUAGGAGUGCAUUUACUAUGAUUUUGUUUUGUCUGGGAUGAUCAGGGACAUAAUUAAUCCUUUUCUGCCACGCAUUGGAACUUUUUCCCCCGUGCAGUCAGGAAAAAUGAUAUUGAACAACCUGGAUCUCGGACUUUUUGAACGUCGAGAUAUUGAACUGAAAUUCGUGAUGGCCGCAGAGACAAAUUGCACCUGCUCUGUUUUCUCUGAAAGCUUAGCACAAGGUUUUUUUAACAUCAUUUCUUGAAUCUCCACAAGAUUUAUAAUAGUGGCAGAUCUUUCUACAAGGCGUGAUGUAUCUCGAAUGCUGCGCUUCAUUCUGGUACAAUGAUUUAUUUUAAUGAAUAACUUACAGGUACUUCAUGCAUUUGAUGAUGGCCUCAUAUCCUUCACCUUUUUAAGCCUGAGGAUUUACAGUGCUCCUUGUUCCACUUUAUUGUUAGAGGGCUUCUUGCUUGUGCAGUUAUUCGACCAGUAUGAAUUUAGCUAGCCCAGGUAUUAUUCUUUUAUUUUUUUUUCACCCUUCCCUUUGGCUUUUCAUUUAUUAUCUGCAAUUGUUGUUUUCAGAUUUAUUAAUGAAAGGAUCGAAUCUCUAGUUUAUUUCUUUAAACAUAACAAGGCUAAUAAAGAAGCUUCUGCUGCAACAAGUUGGCAUCCCAGUCCAUAAAAUGGGGCUUCAAGAAUUUUCAUCUGAUCAUUUUUCUUUUUCUCGUCUGUGGAUCCUUCUGCUAGGGUGUUGAGCUGUUGCAGUUUUUAAGAAGGAUUCAAUCUAAAAUUGAUGAAAGACUCUAAGGCGACUUGUGAACUGGAACACUCUUUCGAAGGAUCAUGCUUUCCAUGGAUACCAGGUCGACCCGUUCUUGGAGUUCUUUUUCAUCAGACCCAACUGAUAUGGAAAAGGGAUUCAACGACCACCACUCCGGGGAGAAUGGGGUGAUAUGUUAGAUGUUGAUCUCUCGCAGAAAAGACUUGAAGGCCCUUGCUCCUGGAACUUUUUGAAAAUAUGUGGACAAAGGGAGAAACUACAGAAUGAAGGAAGGCCUAUCAGGUUACUACGAACAGGCACGUAAACUCUUCGCCAACAACUAUAACAGUGAUGAUGUCAAGGUCAUUGGCAGAGCAAAAAGAAAAGGGUGGGUGCAAAUAAGAUUAACCUCCUGACUGCAGUGCUAUUCUUUCUGGACAUAAUGAUCAAGCCAUGCCGUACAAGUUGCCUUCCAAAUUAUUUGAACAUAUAACUCAGAGUUCUGUUAGAUCUAAUGUAGAAUAUGAUGAUGAUAAUCCCAUGCAUUUGAAGGAGGUUGAAUCGGAGAGCAGUAGUUCUUGCACUUGUGAAGAUGAAAAAUUAACAAGUGACUGUCUGAUUCACCAGGAACUAAAGUAUGGGAUGGUAAAAGUAAUAGAAAGCUUUCUGGUUUCUCGCAUUCAUCAUCCACUUGAAAAGUUUCGAAGGGCCGUAAUUUAAGACCAAGAAGACAGGUAAAGGGACAUGUCAAUCUAGAUUACAUAGGACACAAUCUGGGCGGGAGAAAAGGUCUAGAUUAAGCAGGCAGAUUGGACGUAUGCAAGAAAUUGAGAGAAACAAGCUUCUUAUCAGUAGAUGGGCAGGAUGGAAGGAGAUUCUGAAUUUUCUAAAGACAUGUGGAAAUCUGAGGACUCUAGUGAUGAUUCUGAGGCAGAAAAUGUUGGGAAGAAUUUACAGUGGAACGACUGCUUCGUCAUCUGCGUCCUCAACUACCAUAACUGGAAGUCAUAGGUUGGUUGUCAAUGCUCAGAAAAACUCAUUGGUGGCAAGAUUCCUUUUUGACGUUAAGAUGUGAGGUACUCAACAUAAGCUUAAUAUUUUCUAUUUGUGUUGCCCAUACUUUUAAAUUCCUGAUAUGUGAUACACCACUUCUGUUGCAGGGUAUUGGGUUGCCCCAUAUCCGCGACAAAAAGAAGAGAAGAGUG